UACUUUAGCAAAAAAAAAUGUUGGCACUUCUUUUGUUGCCCUAUUUGUAUUUCCCUUUAUUUAGCAUUUUAUUAAACAAAACCAGUUUUCUUUUAUGUAAUAUAGAAGUUUAUCACAACUGUUUAUCUAUUUUAUGAAGGAAUGUAGUUAAUCACAGAACUGGCACCCAAUGUUAUUAAAAAAGUAUAGAUUUAAAAUUGAGAAUCAAUUCUGAAUCGUACUGUUACCCUCAACAAUCGAAUUGAAUCGAAUUGUGUGGUGCACAAAGAUUCACAGCCCUAGUAAUUAGUGCCCUUAAUUGAACAAUAUUGCAGUGUAAAACACAACAUUUGCUAAUACAAGGUUUGGCUUCAAGUGGGAAGAUAUUCAGCAGACAACAGCAAUAUGCAAAGUAUGCAGCAGAAGUGUUACUACAAAAAGGUAGCAACACUAUUAAAUUGUUCUUUCAUUCAAAAAGUCACCCGCGAGAGAAUGAAGAGUAUUUAAUAAAUACACUUUUGGUCAUAUAACUUAGUUGUGAUUUCCCUCUGAGCAAGAGUGUUUAAAAGUAGCAUAUAUUAAUGCAGUAUGAAGAAGAAUGUUUGAAUGUAGACACAUAGAAUCAUCAUACUGCUGUCAUUAUAUGCAUCAAGUGUUCAUUCAAGGCUAAGGCAAAAUAUCGUAUUAUAUUAUAUAUUAUAUAUUAUAUUCCAAUAUGGCAUACAAAUAUCGCGAUAUUAAUAAAAGCCAAUAUCUCCAAGCCCUAGUGCAUUCAACUGAAUAUGGGUUGAAAAUGAUUUGCAAAUCUUUGUAUUCCAUUUAUAUUUACGUCUGACACAAUUUCCCAACUCAUAUGGAAAUGGGGAUUGUGGUUACUUAAAUUGUCUUUCUGGUUAUGACUGUUUUUUUGUAUGCAUACCUUGUCCUGGCAGUGACAUGACGACAAAGAAUACAACUCAAACACAACAAUGGAGUCCACUGGAAGAGUAUAAAGAUCAGCGGGGUCACGCUCAUAAUUGUUUUUCCGAAGAACCUUGGCUGAUGUACGGAUGACAAGACGUGACUCUGCAGAGUUUUACCUUAAUUCUCCUUCAAACAGGCUGGAGAUUAGAGGACAUUCCUCUCCGUUUCCACUCAAGCGGAGAAGCCGUCAGUGGUCACUGCGGCGCUGAUGUAAUGCACCAUCUCCAGCGUCUUUUGAAGUGGCGGGAUAAGCCGGCCUCAGACGUGGCCGAGUUCAAAAGGGCCCACAGAGGGAUUUGGAAACAGAGGAAAGGAUCCUAUUCUCCCUUCAGAUCAUUUCCAGCCUGGCUCAGCAAACACGGAGGGUGGAAAAGGAGAAAAAGUCAUGGAAGGUUUCCAGCUGACGGAUUGAUUCAGACAUGUGGCUUGCUUCAUUCUGGUGGACCAGGGGAGUCAUAACAGAGACAAAUCUCUCCCUUUCAAGGGUAUACACUCUGUGGCUGCUGAAAUAAAUAAUGUAGGACUUA